rnacentral:rRNA from 1 species
UACAGAGGUCUCAAGCGUUGUUCGGAUUCAUUGGGCGUAAAGGGUGCGUAGGCGGCGCGGUAAGUCGGGUGUGAAAUCUCGGAGCUUAACUCCCGAAACUGCAUUCGAUACUGCCGUGCUUGAGGACUGGAGAGGAGACUGGAAUUUACGGUGUAGCGGUGAAAUGCGCAGAUAUCAGGAAGAACACCUAUGGCGAAGGCAGCUCUCUGGGACGGUACUGACGGCUGAGACGGCGAAAGCGUGGGGAGCGAACAGG